rnacentral:rRNA from 1 species
AUGCAUUCAAAGGUCACAUUGGAUAAUAACAAGAAAAUUGAGAGGUCAAAGAUUUCACUAAAAGUUAAAAUCUUCAUGUGGUUUCUUCGAAGGGGAGUUGUCCCAACCAAAGGCAAUCUAGCCUGUCGCAGUUGGCAAGGAAGCAAGACGUGUAGUUUUUGUUCUCAUGACGAGAGAAUCAAAUACCUCUUUUUUCAAUGCAAGUUUGCGCGUUCUACCUGGUCAGUCAUCCAAAUAGUAUUCAAUUUGUAUCCGCUCAUAAGCGUUGCUAAUAUUUUUGGACACUGUCGGAUGGUAUUUCAAAUAGGUUCAAAAUGUUAA